GAUGGCGGCACAGGGCGGGCCCCGGACGUUGCGGCUCGUCCCGCAGCGCUCGCGGCCGCCAGCGGGUGCCCGGAGCGGGCCGGGCCCGGCCUGCGUGGGACGGGCGCGGCUCAGCCCGCAGACCCCGCCGGCCCGGCCGCCCAGCCCUCAGGGCCGAGGAGGGAGAGGCUGAGGCUGAGGCCUCGGCGGGCCGGCGCUGUGCUCCGGGCUCCGGCCGUGUGCAGCCGCUCCGAGCUCUGCGUGCCACCUCCCAGCCCUCCCGAGCUCCAUCGCUCCACACGGGGCGUCUCAGAGCUGCCUUCAUCCCUCAUUGCUUCUCAUUGCUUCCUACCAGGUGCCUGUUGACCUGUGACGGGUCCUCCAGCCAGCAGCCCGAUGCAUCCAUCCCCUCGUGCCACACCUUGUGCUCGUUCUUGUGCAGCCUCGUCUGUCGGAGCAGCCCCCCUGUGCCCUGUGGGACCCUGCCCCAAGCAGAGCACCUGCCACCUGGACUCUCCACACGCACGCCUCUCUUGCAAGCACCUGUGGUUGCACAGCUCUUACCCUGCCGUGCCUGGGGUCUGUAUCUAAACAGUCUUUUUGAAGGUCCAAAAAAGCACCAUGGAGCUGUUCCAUACCUGCCUUCCUGGCUCAUGCAGUGGUCUGCCAGUCCUUACCUCUUGGCAGUUUGGCUGAGACAGAAACACAAGAUACUCACAAACAACAGGUACCCCACAGCCAGGACUCAUCACACACCUCUUGCAGAGGCCACGUGGUGGUUUUGCUUUGGCAGCUGAAAAUUAUUCAGCAGACAGAAGUGCUCAGCACACCCAGGAUCCAAGCCACAGUGGCUGCUCCCUGUUGCCCUUUGGAACUCCUGGACAGUCCUUCAGGAGACUGAAGUUCCUGCAACCCCUGCAGCACUGCCCUGACUGGGCAAAGCCACUUGAGCUCUCUGCAUGUCCUCAGGCUGCGAGGGUGACACAGGUGACACUCUGGGGCUGCUAAAGAGUUCCCAAGUUGGGAUUGCUGGGCUGCUCUGGACCACGAGGUGCUGUGUGUUGGAAGCUAUUGUUUUGGUUGCCUUCUCUUGGGCAGGAUCAAAAUCUAAAAGCCAGCAGAUCCUGAAGAAAUUUUCACAGCUUGCCAGAAGAAAACGAGCAAUAAAAUUUGCAUCCAGCCUCUGGACCACUUCCUUAGUUCCUGCUGAUGGGAAGUUUGGGUCCACAGACGCUGAGUUUUGAUGAGUCCUGAUCUAAGUGUGAUUUAAGAAUGACAGAACUGCCAUUCUCCAAGCAACAAUAGCCCAUCCACUCCCUCCCUUUCUGCCCUAAUGGAAAAGUUUUGGUGCUCAGAGGGUUCCCAGGAGACCUGGGGUUUCCCUCAGCUCUGUCACCAGUGCGCUGUGCAAUUCCCCAGGCUCCGUGUCCUUGCUCCUGCAGAAAGCUGAUCCUGAACGUGUCAGGCCACUUCCAGAGCAACUGUUCCCAUGGCCCACAUUUGCAGCAGCUAAUGCUGAGCCCAAAAUCACCCCCAUUUGUUUACAGAGAGGAGGAGCCCAUGGAGAUGGGAUCCCAAGGCCCGUGGAGAUGCAGGCACAUCGUGCUGGGCAGCACUGCAGACAUUGCACAGUACCAGCUCUUUUCUCCAUUCUGGCCCCAUUUCUUAGCUGUUUGUGAGUUCCAGAGGGGAGCAGGCAUUGCCAGCAGGUCAGGGAGGUGAUCCUGGCCAGGCUGAGGGAGCUGGGUGUGCUCAGCCUGGAGAAGACCAAGAGGGGAUUUUACCAAUAUCCAUAAAUACCUGAAGGGAACUGCCAGGGGAUGGAGCAGUUUCUGCUCAGCUGCUGAGCAAUAGGACAAUGAGCAGAAACUGAUGCACAGCAAGUUCCACCUUGAACAUGAGGGAGAACUUUCCUGUGCUGCUGACACAGCACAGGUUGCUCAGAGUGGUUGCAGAGCCUCCCUCUCUUGUGAUAUUCAAAGGAGGAAUGUGUCUGGACUCUCUCUGGGUGCUGAUGGGGACCAGGGAGCCAGCUGCAUAGCACGUGUCAAAUGUUUCAUCCUCCCCCAAAAUUAAUUUUACAAGUUCUUCAAUUGCCUGUCACAGGAAGAUGCCACGAGAUUUGAGUUCUCUGAACAGAGGAGGAAAGGCACUGAGAUCAAACAACGCUGACAAAUGCAGCCCGUGACAGCAAUUGCUGGAUUAGUUUUUUUAAACCUUAUGUUUCACAUCUGGUUUGUCAUGGUGUUGUAGGUGGGCUCAGUGCACAGUAAACUAGGAUAACAAACCUACAUUUUCUGUGAUCCUUUCAUCCCCUACGAUCCCAAAACACAUCAUUUAAUUGCACUCAACCUGCACACAGAUUUCAUAAAUAAAGGAAUGAUGAAUUAGCAUA